rnacentral:rRNA from 1 species
GAUGAACGCUGGCGGCGUGCUUAACACAUGCAAGUCGAACGAUGAAGCCCAGCUUGCUGGGUGGAUUAGUGGCGAACGGGUGAGUAACACGUGAGUAACCUGCCCUUAACUCUGGGAUAAGCCUGGGAAACUGGGUCUAAUACCGGAUAGGAGCGUCCACCGCAUGGUGGGUGUUGGAGAGAUUUAUCGGUUUUGGAUGGACUCGCGGCCUAUCAGCUUGUUGGUGAGGUAAUGGCUCACCAAGGCGACGACGGGUAGCCGGCCUGAGAGGGUGACCGGCCACACUGGGACUGAGACACGGCCCAGACUCCUACGGGAGGCAGCAGUGGGGAAUAUUGCACAAUGGGCGCAAGCCUGAUGCAGCGACGCCGCGUGAGGGAUGACGGCCUUCGGGUUGUAAACCGCUUUCAGUAGGGAAGAAGCGAAAGUGACGGUACCUGCAGAAGAAGCACCGGCUAACUACGUG